rnacentral:rRNA from 1 species
UACGUAGGGUGCAAGCGUUGUCCGGAAUUAUUGGGCGUAAAGAGCUCGUAGGCGGCUUGUUGCGUCGACUGUAAAAACCCGCGGCUCAACCGUGUGGUCUGCAGUCGAUACGGGCAGGCUAGAGUUCGGUAGGGGAGACUGGAAUUCCUGGUGUAGCGGUGAAAUGCGCAGAUAUCAGGAGGAACACCUAUUGCGAAGGCAGCUCGCUGGGACGUUACUGACGCUGAGACGCGAAAGCGUGGGGAGCAAACAGG